rnacentral:rRNA from 1 species
UACAGAGGUCUCAAGCGUUGUUCGGAUUCAUUGGGCGUAAAGGGUGCGUAGGCGGCGCGGUAAGUCGGGUGUGAAAUCUCGGAGCUUAACUCCGAAACUGCAUUCGAUACUGCCGUGCUUGAGGACUGGAGAGGAGACUGGAAUUUACGGUGUAGCGGUGAAAUGCGUAGAUAUUUGGGAGGAACACCAGUGGCGAAAGGCGGCUCACUGGACCGGUACUGACGCUGA